AAUACAUUUCCGUUUUACAGUUUAUUUCGGCUGGCGAUUGCCGAAUGCGGCCGGCUGUUUGUAAUUUUUUAAUUUCGGCUUGAAUUUCAAAAUUCAAUUAGUUUUCCCAACGCACACACCCCAAGCCCACGCACACACACAGAGAUAUACACAUAUAUAUAUCCAGAUUCAGAGAGGAAGGAACAAAGGCAUAAAACAGUCAGCUCACAGAUCCUGUGAAAUCGAGGAAGGCAGCUGGGGUGGUGCACACCGCAGAUGUCCGCCUGUGUCUGCUCUGGCAUUAUGCCUCCACACUUCCAGAAGCGAAAAGCUAUAGACUAGAUGGGCGGAGGAGACGGCGGCGCCAGGGGGCGAUGCAAAUUUUGUGGUCCGGGGCUUGGGGCUGCCCAAUUUAAGCCCCAUAACUCAGACCGCAGCGUUGGAGAAAUUAGUUCUGCCCCGGCAGUUGCUCCUCCUGCUUAUCGAGCGUGGGAAUCAAAGAUUUGAUUUGUGACUAGGCUACAACAAAUGGGAAAACUGCCUGCUAAAGUCUAGGAUAUUCAAUUUAAGCACGAUCUGGCUGGAUAAAGUGCAAGAAAUGCUUUUGUUGCCUUUUUGCGCGCGCAAACAAGCGGCAAUAUCUACGGUCAGCCAGUCGCUCGUCCAUCUAUCUACACGCAACUGUUGCUGCUGGCAACUGCGCGGCAGCAACAGCAGCAACAUUGGCAUUUGCAACAGCAUUGGAAGCGCGUAAGCCGCCAGCAGCCAGUGGGUAGCGGCAAAUAAACAUUCAAGGAUAUGUGCCACGCCCACUCACACGCACUCGCCAUCACCAUCGCCAUCGAGUGCGCUGUGCAAAAAGUGUAGCAUACAACUCAGGGCGGCUCCAUCAGCCACAUCUGCUGCCGUUGCUGCUGCUGUCCUGCUGCUUUCCUGCUGCUGUUGCCACACUGCUGCAUGGCAACUGCACAUU